CGCGUGUGUGAAGAAGGUUUUCGGAUUGUAAAGCACUUUCGGCGGGGACGAUGAUGACGGUACCCGCAGAAGAAGCCCCGGCUAACUUCGUGCCAGCAGCCGCGGUAAUACGAAGGGGGCUAGCGUUGCUCGGAAUGACUGGGCGUAAAGGGCGUGUAGGCGGUUUGCACAGUCUAGAUGUGAAAUCCCCGGGCUUAACCUGGGAGCUGCAUUUGAUACGUGCAGACUAGAGUGUGAGAGAGGGUUGUGGAAUUCCCAGUGUAGAGGUGAAAUUCGUAGAUAUUGGGAAGAACACCGGUGGCGAAGGCGGCAACCUGGCUCAUGACUGACGCUGAGGCGCGAAAGCGUGGGGAGCAAACAGGAUUAGAUACCCUGGUAGUCCACGCUGUAAACGAUGUGUGCUGGAUGUUGGGUAACUUAGUUACUCAGUGUCUAGCUAACGCGAUAAGCACACCGCCUGGGGAGUACGGCCGCAAGGUUGAAACUCAAGAA
rnacentral:rRNA from 1 species